AACGAGACCAAAUCAGGAAGGGCAGUCGCCUUUUAAAUCUAUCUGAUGACGUGUUGUACCUCUUCCUUGCUAGCUUUCAGAGCCAAGGAGGAGGACAGAUGAGAACAGCAGGCCAGUGGAGCACUUUGAACAGCAGCAACCAGGGGCAAAUGCAUCUUCACAAGGUCCUUUGCUGUUCUGGGAUUGAUUUGCACUUUUCGAAACCAAAGUACGUAAAUCUCAGACAGAACGCAUCUCCUUCCUGAGCGGUAUGACGGCUGCGUAGUCCCAUGGUGUUUAUACUUGCGUACUAUUGUUUGUACAGGUGAACGUGGUACCUUCAGGCAUUUGGAAAUUGCUCCCAAGGAUGAACCAGACUUGUGGAGGUCUACAAUUUAUUUUCUGAGGUAUUGGCUGAUUUUCUUUGGAUUUUCCCAUGAUGUCAAGCAAAGAGGCACUGAGUUUGAAGGUAGGCCUUGCAAUACAUCUACAGGUAUACCUCCAAUUGACUCAAAUUAGACUCACAUCAAAAGACUCACAUCAUUUUCUGGAAUUUUCCAAGCUGUUUGAAGGCACAGUCAACUUAGUGUAUGUAAACUUCUGACCCCCUGGAAUUGUGAUACAGUGAAUUAUAAGUGAAAUAAGCUUUCUGUAAACAAUUGUUGGUAAAAUGACUUGUGUCAUGAAGAAAGUAGAUGUCCUAACUGAGUUUGUUAAAUAAGAAAGUUGUGAAGUGGUUGAAAAAUGAGUUUUAAUGACUCCAACCUAAGUGUAUGUAAACUUCCUCUUCAACUGUAGGUGACCUAGACACAGGCCCAAAACAAGUUAAGCUACCUCAGUAUCCCCUUGGACAUUCUCGAUUGCAAAACUGAAGAGACCCAGCAGACAAGACACAGAGAUAGAUGGCAACAGAAGAGUAGAUGAGGCACAGAACACAGAGACAGCAACACAACAAUAGGAUAUGAUGCAGAGACACCAGAAGAGGAAAGACAAAGAGACUGUAACAAACAAGAACCUGAGACCGCAACAGACGAGGCAACAGACGAGGCAACAGAGAAAGUGACAGAGUAGAUGGAGAGAGAACAGAGGACAGGAUUAGAGAGGAGGGUAGACAAGAGAGACAGCAACAGACGACACAGAA
ensembl:lncRNA